rnacentral:misc_RNA from 1 species
AAAAAAAGAGAGACCCACGCCCACGCACAAUACACACGCGUUGCCAGUUGUUGGAAGUCUUUUGCUUCGAUUCCAUCAGAUUAACAAUGCGAGAAAAGAAAGAGAGAGGAAAAAGUUGAGUUUCUGUAGAGAUAUAAAAGAUGAUAAUACCAGGAGAUACCUUAUGCUUGUAAUUUGUUUUAAUCAUUUUAUCUGUAAUUAACCUAA